rnacentral:rRNA from 1 species
CGCGUAGGUGGUAGUGUAAGUCUGAGGUGGAAUCCUAUGGCUUAAACCAUAGAACUGCCUUGGAUACUGUAUUACUUGAGUCAGUGAGGGGAGGGUAGAAUUCCUGGUGUAGCGGUGAAAUGCGUAGAUAUCAGGAGGAAGGCCUGUGGCGAAGGCGGCCCUCUGGCGCUGGACUGACACUGAGGCGCGAAAGCGUGGGGAGCAAACAGGAUUAGAUACCCUGGUAGUCCACGCCCUAAACGGUGGGCACUAGGUGUAGGGCUCGUAAGGGUUCUGUGCCGAAGGGAAACCAUUAAGUGCCCCGCCUGGGGAGUACGGCCGCAAGGUUGAA